rnacentral:rRNA from 1 species
GACGAACGCUUUCUUCUUUCUUAACACAUGCAAGUCGAACGGAAAGGCCCUGCUUUUGUGGGGUGCUCGAGUGGCGAACGGGUGAGUAACACGUGAGUAACCUGCCCUUGACUUUGGGAUAACUUCAGGAAACUGGGGCUAAUACCGGAUAGGAGCUCCUGCUGCAUGGUGGGGGUUGGAAAGUUUCGGCGGUUGGGGAUGGACUCGCGGCUUAUCAGCUUGUUGGUGGGGUAGUGGCUUACCAAGGCUUUGACGGGUAGCCGGCCUGAGAGGGUGACCGGCCACAUUGGGACUGAGAUACGGCCCAGACUCCUACGGGAGGCAGCAGUGGGGAAUAUUGCACAAUGGGCGGAAGCCUGAUGCAGCAACGCCGCGUGCGGGAUGAAGGAAGUCGGGUUGUAAACCGCUUUCGCCUGUGACGAAGCGUGAGUGACGGUAAUGGGUAAAGAAGCACAGGCUAAAUACGGG